AACGAACGCUGGCGGCAGGCUUAACACAUGCAAGUCGAGCGCCGUAGCAAUACGGAGCGGCGGACGGGUGAGUAACGCGUGGGAACAUGCCCUUUGGUCUGGAAUAACCCAGGGAAACUUGGGCUAAUGCCGGAUACGCCCUGAGGAGCGAUUUUCAGGGGAAAGAUUUAUCGCCGAAGGAUUGGCCCGCGUCCGAUUAGCUAGUUGGUGAGGUAACGGCUCACCAAGGCGACGAUCGGUAGCUGGUCUGAGAGGAUGAUCAGCCACACUGGGACUG
rnacentral:rRNA from 1 species